rnacentral:rRNA from 1 species
UACGGGGGGAGCAAGCGUUGUUCGGAUUUACUGGGCGUAAAGGGCGCGUAGGCGGCCACUGCAAGUCAGUUGUGAAAUCUCCGGGCUUAACCCGGAAAGGUCAACUGAUACUGCAGGGCUAGAGUGCAGAAGGGGCAACUGGAAUUCUCGGUGUAGCGGUGAAAUGCGUAGAUAUCGAGAGGAACACCUGCGGCGAAGGCGGGUUGCUGGGCUGACACUGACGCUGAUGUGCGAAAGCUAGGGGAGCGAACAGG